CCUACGGGUCGCACCAGUGGGGAAUAUUGCACAAUGGGGGAAACCCUGAUGCAGCAACGCCGCGUGAGUGAUGACGGCCUUCGGGUUGUAAAGCUCUGUCUUCAGGGACGAUAAUGACGGUACCUGAGGAGGAAGCCACGGCUAACUACAUGCCAGCAGCCGCGGUAAUACGUAGGUGGCGAGCGUUGUCCGGAUUUACUGGGCGUAAAGGGAGCGUAGGCGGACUUUUAAGUGAGAUGUGAAAUACCCGGGCUCAACUUGGGUGCUGCAUUUCAAACUGGAAGUCUAGUGUGCAGGAGAGGAGAAUGGAAUU
rnacentral:rRNA from 1 species